AUGCAAGUUAUCACGACACAUUCCUUAACAUCACUACAGACAACAGAAAUAGUUCUGGAGUUUACCCCAAAAUCAAAAUUCCAAGUUGGCUUUUUGUAUCUCAUUUCCAUCCACGCAACCGUUCAAAAGGAUAAGCAGCAGCAACAUCAAACAUAUAUGAAAGUAUAA